rnacentral:rRNA from 1 species
AAUGAACGUUGGCGGCGUGGAUUAGGCAUGCAAGUCGAGCGAUGAAGCCGUGCUUGCACGGUGGAUUAGCGGCGAAAGGGAGAGUAACGCGUAGGUAUGUACCCUCGGGUCCGGGAUAGCGGCGGGAAACUGCCGGUAAUACCGGAUAACGUGUCCGCACCAAAGGUGUGAUUCCGCCCGGGGAGCGGCCUGCGUCCUAUUAGGUUGUUGGUGGGGUAAUGGCCUACCAAGCCGAAGAUGGUACCGGUGUGAGAGCAUGGCCCGGCUCACUGGGACUGAGACACUGCCCAGACACCUACGGGUGGCUGCAGUCGAGAAUCUUCCGCAAUGGACGCAAGUCUGACGGAGCGACGCCGCGUGCGGGAUGAAGGCCUUCGGGUUGUAAACCGCUGUCAGAGAGGCGGAAAUGCAUAAGGGCUAUCCCCUGUGUUUGACCUAAUCUCAGAGGAAGCGCAGGCUAAGUUCGUG